AUUCCAACGCGAUAAAACCGCCGUGCGCGUGUAAUUUACCGGGCGCCGGUGUAGCGGACGGUCGUUCGUAACCGUACGGUUAAUUAUACGGGGUUUUUUUUUUUAAAACAUUUGUUUUUUCGGCGAAAAGUACGUUUUCAAUACUCGCUACACCGUACGUGUAAUGUAACAUUAUAACAGUGUGCGGCGUGCGAAAAAAAUUGCGCGAGCCCGAUAACAAUC